CAUUCGAUUGAGUGCAUUAAUUGCAUUGGGAGUGCACUCAUUGAUAAGUGUUCUUCCAUUAAUGUCAAUCUCUUCGAAGUGCACUUAUCAUUUGACUCGUUAAUGAAAUUAUGCCAAAUAUUGUACCGUUAACAUUUCAAUUUCACAAGUUCAAAGUUCACGCCCCCCUCUCCGAUCGUCGCUCGUCUCGGCGUCUCAUCUCACUCCUUCUCAAAAGUCUCUCCUUCUCAAUCUCCGGCCAUUUCUCCUUCUCAAAAGUCCCUUACUGUUGCGUUGUGUUGUGAAUCUUUUCUUUGAAAAACCCUCACCGUUGUUGUGAAUCUCGACUCUCCCUCCGAUCGUCGUUUGCGUUGUGAAUCUCCCUCAUCCUUGCGCUCGGCUCUCCUUCUCAGUCUCCGGCCCCCUUCUCAGAAGUCUCUCAAUCUCCGAUCUUUCGAUCUCCAAUCGUUUCCGACCGUCGCUCGCGCUCGACUCGCCAUUUCCGUUGCGUUGCGUUGUGAAUCUUUUCUUUGAAAUUUCCUCACCAUUGUUGUGAAUCUCGACUUUCCCUCCGAUCGUCGUUUGCGUUGCGAAUCUCCCUCACCCUUGCGCUCGGCUCUCCUUCUCAGUCUCCGGCCCCCUUCUCAGAAGUCUCUCAAUCUCCGAUCUUUCGAUCUCCAAUCGUCUCCGACCGUCGCUCGCGCUCGACUCGCCCUUUCCAUUGCGUUGCGUUAUGAAUCUUUUCUUCGAAAUUCCCUCACCGUUGUUGUAAAUCUCGACUUUCCCUCCGAUCGUCGUUUGCGUUGUGAAUCUCCCUCACCCUUGUGCUCGGCUCUCCUUCUCAGUCUACGGUCGUCUCUCCUUCUCAGUCUACGGUCGUCUCUCCUUCUCAGAAGCCUCUCAAUCUCCGAUCUUUCGAUCCCAAUCGUCUCCGACCGUCGCUCGCGCUCGACUCGCCCUUUCCGUUGCGUUGCGUUGCGUUGUGAAUCUUUUCUUUUGAAAUUCCCUCACCGUUGUUGUGAAUCUCGACUCUCCCUCCGAUCGUCGUUUGCGUUGUGAAUCUCCCUCACCCUUGUGCUCGGCUCUUCUUCUCAGUCUCCGGCCGUCUCUCCUUCUCAGAAACCUCUCAAUCUCCGAUCUUUCGAUCACAAUCGUCUCCGACUGUCGCUCGCCCUCGACUCGCCCUUUCCGUUGCGUUGCGUUGUGAAUCUUUUCUUUGAAAUUCCCUCACCGUUGUUGUGAAUCUCGACUCUCCCUCCGAUCUUCGUUUGCAUUGUGUACCUCCCUCACCCUGGCGCUCGGCUCUCCUUCUCAGAAAUAUUUCAUUGAGCCAUUUCAAGCUAUCGCCGCCACUAUCGAUUCUCCAGUUGACGAGGAUUUGAAGUUAGAAGAUGUUGACUUGGGGGAGGGUAUAUUAUCUGUGGUGUGUAAUUGCAAUGUACUCCAUAACUGAAGGGAUGAAAGUUGGGGGAAAGGUUUCUUGGAUUUUCAGUUGUUCGAAUUUCUUAUAACAAUAGUUGGAAGUGCAAAACUGGUGAAGAUUAUCCAUAUCACAUCUUUGCUGACAGAGAGUAGCUAUGUUGUGAAAAUUUCAGUUGGAAAUGGAGGACAUAGAUGGAAAUAAUAAAGUUCAGUUGCUACUUUCGACACUCCAACAGAAUGGAAAUUUGUAUUACAUUAGAUGGUGCUCCACAAAUACCUACUGAAAAGAAGAGGUGAAUGAUACAUGACAAGACAAGGUUAUCAAAGUUGGCAACUCAACUUCCCUAAAUGUUACAAUCGUGUGCAUUUUGUAUUUCGAGAAACAAUUUAUGUUAGGGAAUUACAUUUAGUGAUUAGUUUAUCUUCUAUCAUAUUGAUAUCUAUUUUACUUUAGAAAAUUAUUGAAUACUUUAUUUUCAUAAAAAAUGUGGGUCCUUGACCAUCAAAAUAUUUCUUUAAUCAUUUGAAGCAUUUGCUUAAUGUAUAUGGAAA